GUCCAAGUCUCGCCAUUGGGCAUUCGCCUGUUGGAAGGUGUGAAUCAGCUGCACUUCAUCCCUGUGGACCUGGGCGCCCCCAUCGUGCAGUGUGCUGUGGCUGAUCCCUAUGUGGUCAUCAUGAGUGCUGAGGGACACGUUACCAUGUUCCUACUCAAGAGCGAUUCCUAUGGUGGCCGCCACCACCGGCUGGCACUACACAAGCCUCCACUACAUCAUGUAGGCCCUCUACCCUUGAUGCCCCUGUCUUUCCACUGCCUGUCUCCUGCCCUUGUCUGAACCCUGUCCCACUUCCUACAGCAGUCUAAGGUGAUUGCGCUCUGCCUGUACCGAGAUGUCAGUGGCAUGUUCACCACUGAGAGCCGC
rnacentral:lncRNA from 1 species